UACGUAGGGUGCAAGCGUUAAUCGGAAUUACUGGGCGUAAAGCGUGCGCAGGCGGUUGUGGAAGACAGAUGUGAAAUCCCCGGGCUCAACCUGGGAACUGCAUUUGUGACUGCACGGCUAGAGUGCGGCAGAGGGAGAUGGAAUUCCGCGUGUAGCAGUGAAAUGCGUAGAUAUGCGGAGGAACACCGAUGGCGAAGGCAAUCUCCUGGGCCUGCACUGACGCUCAUGCACGAAAGCGUGGGGAGCAAACAGG
rnacentral:rRNA from 1 species